AUUGAACGCUGGCGGCAGGCUUAACACAUGCAAGUCGAGCGGAGAUGAGGUGCUUGCACCUUAUCUUAGCGGCGGACGGGUGAGUAAUGCUUAGGAAUCUGCCUAUUAGUGGGGGACAACAUUCCGAAAGGAAUGCUAAUACCGCAUACGCCCUACGGGGGAAAGCAGGGGAUCUUCGGACCUUGCGCUAAUAGAUGAGCCUAAGUCGGAUUAGCUAGUUGGUGGGGUAAAGGCCUACCAAGGCGACGAUCUGUAGCGGGUCUGAGAGGAUGCUCCGCCACACUGGGACUGAGACGAGACCCAGACUCCUACGGGAGGCAGCAGUGGGGAAUAUUGGAAAAUGGGCGGAAGCCUGAUCCAGCCAUGCCGCGUGCGUGAAGAAGGCCUUUUGGUUGUAAAGCACUUUAAGCGAGGAGGAGGCUACCUGGAUUAAUACUCUAGGAUAGUGGACGUUACUCGCAGAAUAAGCACCGGCUAACUCUGUGCCAGCCGCCGCCGUAAAAC
rnacentral:rRNA from 1 species